ensembl:lncRNA
UCAUGGCAAGCCCUCUUAUGCAUGAGAUACAACAACACCCACAAGUAACCAUUAUAGCACCAAAUGUAGAUAGCGAUAAAAGAACAGACAUUAUCAAACCUUUCCACUGGCCGAACAUCGAGGUCAGCCAUUCCUCCAGCGGAUUAUCUAUCCCAGAAUGCUCGUAUGCGACCCCUUGACAUAGUCCAAUUCAAUCCCCCAAAUUUCCUCAAACAGGUGUCCUCAGGUGGGGUCGCGAACCUCUUCGCUGGGGGAAUGAAGACCCGAUGCCAACCUGGGAAACCUGUAACAACACACAACACACAUAUCAUUAUUCCACCAAUUCCCAUAUACCAUUUCAUUCUACUAUCAUCUCCUCAGAACUUUCUCUGUAACCCUGUCAUCUUGGCACAAGUGGUAGCCACUCGGUGUCCUAUACCCCCUUUUGUUACAGUAUUCUUCAGUUCUUUCCCCUAAGAGUCUAUUCCCCUGGCGCCGUCCUUUGUCUCCUUCACUCGCUUGUAGUCCCGCCGUGUCCUGGGGUCCGCUCCUGGCACCGGUCCGGCUGGUGUUGGUCCUUCUUCCGUCCACGCUGGGGAAAGCUCCUCCUUCCCGGUUUGGAUGAGGUCCGUUAGCGACCUCCCUGGCUCCUGCGCUGGUGUACACUGACUCCAAUGGUACCACGUCUCUCCUUUGUCCCUCAGGCGGACCGCAUGACUC